UGGGCGCCCCGGGGAUGGGCGCCCCGGGGAUGGGCGCUCCGGAGCUUUUGCUCUCCCACCUCCUCCUCCCCUCCGAGCCGCCCCCGCGCUCUCCGUGCCCCGCGGCGCCCCCCGGCGGGGCGGCCCCGCUCCCAGCCCCGCGGCUCCCCCCCGGCCGGGGCCGCUCCGCCGCUCUCCCCGCAGCCCCGCGCGGCUCGGCUCGGCUCGGCACGGCCCGGCCUCCCGCCUCCCAUUGGUCCGGGAUAGCGCCGAGGGCGGGGACGGCCGGGCCGCUAUUAAACAUCCCAUGGCAGCCCGCAAAAAGGGGCAGCGGCUCAUUGAGUGGCUCAGUUGCAAAGCGGUGCGGCGGCGGCGGCCGGCGGGCACCUUGGGAUUGGCUUGCUGCGUCCCCCCCCAGCUGCUGGAUCUUACGCCCUUUUAACUCUCUAAGCACCUCCGUUAAGGCCACCGGCAGGUCUCCUUCCAUGGAUAUUUCCACGUCCCUGGAAAGAUUCAGAAGAUGGCUGGUGCUGAUGACUGUCCAGAGGGAGCUUCUCAACAUGCUUUCAGCAGGCAGCAGAGACAAGGUACAUGCUGAGCGAUCAUCCUGUCCGGUUUUCCACAUCUGACGCUCAAAAAAUAUAUAUAUAUAUAUAUGCGGAGAGGAAAGAAUGGUUUGCAGUGAGUGAUAACAGCUCUGCCUGGUGCUACCACGGGACGCCGCUGACGUGAGGAUGCUGGUGUAAACGCACGUGGGCCGCCUGAUGGCAUGCUGGGCAAGCCUGGUGGCAAUGGAUUAUUUGAGGCCAAGCGAUGGGACAUGCAGAAAGCCAGUGGCAGAGCAGGAACCGAGCGCAGGCGAGGGCUGUGCGAGCCUUUGUGCAGCUGUCUGGAUCAGUCCCGGGGCUGCUGGGGUGUCAUGGCAUACCUGGGCUGAGUUUCAAGUCGACCUCAACUGAUUUAUGGGCUGGAUGGAGACCUAUAAAACCUGCGGCAAUUCUGCAUGGGGGUUCGCUGUGGAGCUCAGCAAAACUGUGAAACUCCAGCUGAGCUUUGUCCUGAUUUUUCUGACACUCGGAUAAAUGUAAACCAAAAGCCUCAACCCAAAUACUGCCAAAUUAUGGGGAAUGUGCCAAAAUGGAGAUUAUUUUUAAAUAUCUUCCCCUGUUUUGUGGCUUAUGGGAUGGGCAUAGGGAUACUAAGCAAUAAACAAAGGACUACAGAGACA
rnacentral:lncRNA from 1 species